GACGAACGCUGGCGGCGUGCCUAAUACAUGCAAGUAGAACGCUGAAGAGAGGAGCUUGCUCUUCUUGGAUGAGUUGCGAACGGGUGAGUAACGCGUAGGUAACCUGCCUGGUAGCGGGGGAUAACUAUUGGAAACGAUAGCUAAUACCGCAUAAAAUUGAUUAUUGCAUGAUAAUUAAUUGAAAGAUGCAAUUGCAUCACUACCAGAUGGACCUGCGUUGUAUUAGCUAGUUGGUGAGGUAACGGCUCACCAAGGCGACGAUACAUAGCCGACCUGAGAGGGUGAUCGGCCACACUGGGACUGAGACACGGCCCAGACUCCUACGGGAGGCAGCAGUAGGGAAUCUUCGGCAAUGGGGGGAACCCUGACCGAGCAACGCCGCGUGAGUGAAGAAGGUUUUCGGAUCGUAAAGCUCUGUUGUAAGAGAAGAACGGGUGUGAGAGUGGAA
rnacentral:rRNA from 1 species